rnacentral:rRNA from 1 species
UGGAUAACUGUGGUAAUUCUAGAGCUAAUACAUGCAGUAAGCCUUGACCCUUACGGGCAAGGCGCAGUUAUUAGAUCAAAAACCAAUCGGUUGUGUCUUCGGAUGCAGCCGUUAGCUUGGUGACUCUGAGUAACCACAGCGAACCGUAUGGCCUCGUGCUCGACGGUCUGUCAGUCAAGCAACUGCCUUAUCAGCUUGUUGUUAGGUUAUAUGCCUAACAAGGCUUCAACGGGUAACGAACGAUCGGGGUCGGAUAUCGGAGAGGGAGCUUGAGAAACGGCUACCACUUCCAAGGAAGGCAGCAGGCGCGCAAAUUACCCACUCUCGGCAUGAGGAGGUAGCGAUAAAAUGUAUCGAUGCGGGGCCAUUAGUGCCUUCGCAAUCGGAAUGAGUACACUUUAAAUCCUAUAACAAGGACCUAUUGGAGGGCAAGUCUGGUGCCAGCAGCCGCGGUAAUUCCAGCUCCAAUAGCGUAUAUUAAUGCUGCUGCGGUUAAAAAGCUCGUAGUCGGAUCUGGGUUACCGGCGGGUACCGCAUGUGGCUUCAUGCUGCAUGUUGUGUACUAUACGUGCCGCUUCGGCGGCACUGCCAGUGUAGUAGUACUUUAGGGUGCAUUACGCUGGUCGCCGGAACCACGAGCCGGGUUGAGCAGUAUGCUCUUUAUUGAGUGUAUUGUUUACUCGGUGCGUUUACUUUGAAAAAAUUGGAGUGCUCAAAGCAAGCGUACAGUCGCUAUGCGGCUUGAACAGUGGUGCAUGGAAUAAUGGAAUAGGGCCUCGGUUCUAUUUUGUUGGUUUUAAGAUAUCGAGGUAAUGAUUAAGAGGGACAGACGGGGACGUUUGUAUUGCGACGUUAGAGGUGAAAUUCUUGGAUCGUCGCAAGACACACUAAUGCGAA